CUCUCUCUAUGCUUCUGUCGCCGUCUCCAUCUCCAUCUCCAAAUUAUUUUUCCUAGAAGCUUACACAACAACUCUUGAUCAGCAGAACUAAACACGAAUGCUCUCUUUAUUUGGAGGAUUCAGCUACAGGUUUUAACUAAAUCAUUUGUUACCAUUUUAUUUUCUUCUCAAUCUGUUUGUUUCCUUCCAAACCAUAAUCUCUCUUUCGCUUUUUAACUAAAUCCAAUUCUUCUGUUAAAUUCAUGUUGACGAUGGCGGGUAAACAAGAUCAGGUUUUCGAGGUCACUGGUUCGUACUUUUUCCCUAUUUUUUUUAUGAGAGUCUUGGAGAUGUUCAUCAUAGUUAUCACAGUAGGAGCUUUCUUCUUUUGGGAAUCCAUUCUAUUCUAUGGUGAUAAUGAAUUACUCGCAUGUCUACACAUGCCAUAUUUUCCAAAGGAUUUGGAUGAAAGUUUGCUGAUAAGUUUGCUCUGAUGGAUGUAAUGUCUUUAGAGCGAUCAUGAAGAAGACCAAAGGAGAUGAUACACUGGUUCCAGUUUUAUCAGCACAUGUAAGCAUCUUAUUGCACAUAAGCUAGCGGAAGAAGAAGCUGAACUUUAAGCUAAGGGUCAAGCUAGAAAGGCUAAACAUUUGGAAGAAGGACAUGUUAAACCUGGAAAUUAGUUGGAUACCCAUGAAAAAUUCUAAUUGGUGUUGCCACUAGAUCUAAAAGAUAAACAAGGCGUAACAUGCUCAGAAGAGUUUGAAUCCUUCCUGGUCAAGAGUCACUAAAGGUUAUAGUCUAAAGUGACUCGGUGUAAACAUUCUUAUAAAUUAUGAAACAGAGAAGAUUCAUAAUUGUCUCACAAGUCUUGGUGAUUUUUCAUUGGCCUUGAGUGAUUAAGACUAUCGGAUCCAUUGGCAAGUCAAAUACGGAGAGGCAAUGAAGAAUGAUGCUACAGCAGCUGGUGUCACUGUCCGCUAUUUUAAAGAUGAGACAACACCUACAAAACUUGCGGUGUCUGUGUUCUUGGUAGAGAAAGAUAUCCUUCUGUUGAGUUGUAUUGAGAUUACCAGUUACUCAAAAGAAUUGGAGGAAAUGAAGCACAUGACCAAGCAAGAGUUCAUUGCCUCCUCAGAAUAGGUCAAAAACCAAUAUAAUACUGGAAGAGUAGCGGUUUCUCUAAAUGAGUUUCUGUAUACAUCGAUGUGUGACAAGGCAUCAUCAACAAGAAACCUUGGCAAGCAAGGAUUGGCCGUGUUGCCGAGAAUAAAGAUCUUUACCUUGAAAUCUUUGUAUCGAGAUCAGGAAAGCAUACUAGAUGUUUCAAAAGCAAAUCGAGGCUUCAGGUUCUAGACUUAUAAUCCUUUGGGUCAAAUUAUCACGAGACGUACCAGCAUAUGAUGAUGUCAAUGGUAGGGUGGAGUCUGAAGGAGAAGACAAGGUUAGAUUGAAGUUCACAAAGAGGCCAAAGCUAAGAAACCUUAUAGGGAAAACGGUGAUGUAAAACUAGAACUUGAUUAUGUUGUGUAAAUGAGUGUGAGAGGGAGGUAUUGUGGGGUUGAUGUUGUUAAACACACAAAAAAAAAAUUAAGCAAAAGAUAUUGAUAACAAGGACAACGAACAUGUGGGGAGAGUAGCCACAAACAGGUAUAUAGUGGAUAAGAGAGGUGAAAAGUAUUAUGAGUGUAUUGUGCUAAGGAUUUUAUAUUACAAAAAUUGUAUAUAAUGAGAAGAAAGAUGAGAGUAAAGUAGAAGUUCUCACCAUUAGCAUUUAA